ACUCGAGUGGCGAACGGGUGAGUAACACGUGGGUGAUCUGCCCUGCACUUCGGGAUAAGCUUGGGAAACUGGGUCUAAUACCGGAUAGGAGCCAUCUUUAGUGUGGUGGUUGGAAAGUUUUUUCGGUGUAGGAUGAGCUCGCGGCCUAUCAGCUUGUUGGUGGGGUAAUGGCCUACCAAGGCGGCGACGGGUAGCCGGCCUGAGAGGGUGUACGGCCACAUUGGGCUGAGAUACGGCCCAG
rnacentral:rRNA from 1 species